CGUCUAGCGGCGACGGGUGAGUAACGCGUGAGCAACCUGUCCCUUACAGGGGGAUAACACAGCGAAAGUUGUACUAAUACCGCAUAAGACCACGGUGAGACAUCUUACAGGGGUCAAAGGAGCAAUCCGGUAAGGGGUGGGCUCGCGUCCGAUUAGAUAGUUGGUGAGGUAACGGCCCACCAAGUCAACGAUCGGUAGCCGACCUGAGAGGUGAUCGGCCACAUUGGGACUGAGACACGGCCCAAACUCCUACGGGAGGCAGCAGUGGGAAUAUUGGGCAAAUGGGGGAAACCCUGACCCAGCAACGCCGCGUGAGGGAAGAAGGUUUUCGGAUCGUAAACCUCUGUCCUUGGUGAAGAGAAAGAGACGGUAGCCAAGGAGGAACGCCCCGGCUAACUACGUGCCAGCCGCCGC
rnacentral:rRNA from 1 species